rnacentral:lncRNA from 10 species
CAAUGUCACAAAUCUAAUGGUACAGAUGGAGACACAGACUCAAAGAGGUGAUUGGUCCACAGCAACGUGCUGGAAACAAAGGAUCCACCCCAGCCACUCCUCCUAAGGGCAGAGCCUAGAUCCCUGAGUAACUGCUUGGAGGAGAGCCACUCAAGAGAGCUGACUGUCUAGCCUGGUCAACACAGGGAGACCCCAUCUCUACAAAAAAUACAAAAAUUCGCCGGGUGAGGUGGUGUGCACCUGUGGUUCCAGCUACUUGGGAGGCUGAGAUGGGAGGAUUGCUUGAGCCUGGGAGGUUGAGGCUGCAGUGAGCUGUGAUCGUGCCACUGCAUUCCAGCCUGGGCUACAGAGUAAGA